rnacentral:rRNA from 1 species
CCUACGGGGGGCAGCAGUGAGGAAUAUUGGUCAAUGGACGAGCGUCUGAACCAGCCAAGUAGCGUGAAGGAUGACUGCCCUAUGGGUUGUAAACUUCUUUUAUAUGGGAAUAAAAUGUUCCACGUGUGGGAUUUUGUAUGUACCAUAUGAAUAAGGAUCGGCUAACUCCGUGCCAGCAGCCGCGGUAAUACGGAGGAUCCGAGCGUUAUCCGGAUUUAUUGGGUUUAAAGGGAGCGUAGGUGGAUUGUUAAGUCAGUUGUGAAAGUUUGCGGCUCAACCGUAAAAUUGCAGUUGAAACUGGCAGUCUUGAGUACAGUAGAGGUGGGCGGAAUUCGUGGUGUAGCGGUGAAAUGCUUAGAUAUCACGAAGAACUCCGAUUGCGAAGGCAGUUCACUGGACUGCAACUGACACUGAGGCUCGAAAGUGUGGGUAUCAAACAGGAUUAGAUACCCGAGUAGUC